AACGAACGCUGGCGGCGUGCUUAACACAUGCAAGUCGAACGUGAAGGGGAGCUUGCUCCCUGGAAAGUGGCGCACGGGUGAGUAACGCGUGGAUAAUCUACCCGACGAUCUGGGAUAACAUUUCGAAAGGGGUGCUAAUACCGGAUAAGCCCACGAAGACUUAGGUUUUUGCGGGAAAAGGGGGGGACCUUCGGGCCUUCUGUCGUCGGAUGAGUCCGCGUACCAUUAGCUAGUUGGUGGGGUAAAGGCCUACCAAGGCUACGAUGGUUAGCUGGUCUGAGAGGACGAUCAGCCACACUGGAACUGAGACACGGUCCAGACUCCUACGGGAGGCAGCAGUGGGGAAUUUUGCGCAAUGGGGGAAACCCUGACGCAGCAACGCCGCGUGAGUGAUGAAGGCCUUCGGGUCGUAAAGCUCUGUCUAGGGGAAAGAAGUGUAGGGUGGCCAAUACCCACUUUACUUGACGGUACCCCUGAAGGAAGCACCGGCUAACUCCGUGCCAGCCGCCGCAGUAAUAC
rnacentral:rRNA from 1 species